rnacentral:rRNA from 1 species
AACGAACGCUGGCGGCAGGCCUAACACAUGCAAGUCGAGCGGACAUCUUCGGAUGUUAGCGGCGGACGGGGGAGCAAGGCGUGGGAAUGUGCCCUUGGCUGCGGCAUAGCCUCGGGAAACUUGGAGUAAUACCGGAUGUUCCCUUUAGGGGAAAGAUGUAUCGGCAAAGGGUCGUGCCGCGUUGGAGUACGUAGGUGGUGGUGUAAUGGCCUACCAAGUCGGCGAUCCAUAGCUGGUUUGAGGGGAUGAUCAGCCACACUGGGGCUGCGACCCGGACCAGACUGCGACGGAGGGGAGCAGUGGAGAAUCUUAGACACUGGGGGACACACUGAUCUAGCCUUGCCGCGUGAGGGAUGAAGGCCUUAGGGUUGUAACGCUCUUUCACCGGGGAAGAUAAUGCCGGUACCAGAAGAAGAAGCCCCGGCUAACUCCGU